rfam:Bacillus circulans strain RIT379 contig28, whole genome shotgun sequence.
UCUAACUGAUUUUCAGAUUAAUCAAGGUGAAAUCCCUUGUUAGGGUCAAGGACUUAAAGAUUCUACCCUAAUACUCCUACAUGCGCCCCUUUGUUCAUAAAGGCGGGGUAUGAAGCUAGGUGAAGUCGUAACGUGAGAGAUUUACCUACAUUUCUCAAUAUCGUGCGGGGGUCCUUAAA